GAUGAACGCUAGCUACAGGCUUAACACAUGCAAGUCGAGGGGUAACGAGAGGAAAGCUUGCUUUCCUUGUCGACGACCGGCGCACGGGUGAGUAACGCGUAUCCAACCUGCCCCCAACUAGGGAAUAACCUUGCGAAAGUAAGACUAAUACCCUAUAAUUCCUCAGAUGUCAUCUGACGAGGAAUAAAGAUUUAUCGGUUGUGGAUGGGGAUGCGUCUGAUUAGCUUGGUGGCGGGGUAACGGCCCACCAAGGCAACGAUCAGUAGGGGUUCUGAGAGGAAGGUCCCCCACAUUGGAACUGAGACACGGUCCAAACUCCUACGGGAGGCAGCAGUGAGGAAUAUUGGUCAAUGGGCGGAAGCCUGAACCAGCCAAGUAGCGUGCAGGAUGACGGCCCUAUGGGUUGUAAACUGCUUUUAUACAGGAAUAAAGUUAGCCACGUGUGGUUAUUUGUAGGUACUGUAUGGAUAAGGACCGGCUAAUUCCGUGCCAGCCGCCGCCGUAA
rnacentral:rRNA from 1 species